AAGAAAACAAAACUAAAGACUCAUGUGGUACGAGGCAAUUUUGUAAUUAAUUAAAUUCAUGCAAAUAACUACUUAAAAUUAGGAUAAAAGCAAUAAGAAUUGAUAAUUUAAAAAGCUGCUACCGCUGCUAACGAGACAGUUAACUGUAGCUCUUAUCAAUACUUAAACUAAGGCUUAACUGAGUUGAAUUAAGAGCCCAUAUCUCCCGAUCUAAAGGACACUGAGGAAACGUACACGAAAACAGAAACUAAACGU